rnacentral:lncRNA from 1 species
AUGGAUAAAGUCAAUCCUUUGCUCUCUAGCACUCCACUCCUCAGUGUGAUCGCCCAAGUCCCUCAGCUGCUGAUCAGAGACACUGCUGUACACACUCGCCUCUGGAACACACAGCAGGCUAAAGCUCUCUUUAAACAGGCUGUCAUCUCUCACCCAAGUCUCUCACUACAAGAAUUUCUGUAAGUUUGGCCUUUAUGGAUUUGUGAGUUCAUUUUGUGAUUAUAAACCAGGUCUACAAAAUGUAUCAUGACAGUGCUCAGUGAAGUACUUAAGCAUGAUCAUGUUUUCUCUUUCUCUGACAUGACAGAUCUCUGGGGACACUGGCUACAGGAGUGAAUUGCUUGGACCUUAGACGAUUGUUCCAGAAUCUGGCAUCUCUAUCUCCUCUACGUGACAUUAUGACAUUUCUGAGAGAGCAGUCUGUGCCACUCCACCCCUCGCUGGUAUCUAGCAAACCUACAUUCAAAUUCAGGACCUACAUUUGACAGAUUACCAGUUUAGUUUAGUUUCAUUUUAAUUCAUAAUCUUAUUCAUAGUUCACUGAAUUAAUCAAUAAACUUUUGCGCAGACCUACCUGUAAAUCGAGUGCAGAUGUUUAGAAUCCUGAAUAAUGGUUGGAGUAUUGCACAAACACUCUCUUGACAGAAGUUUAUUUUCCUUUUUCCGUACUACAGAAAAAAUGUGUAAUUGAGGAAUUGUAUGAGUUUGGCUUCUUCUCAGAUUUACUUGGAGAUUUGGGUUCUCAGAUUGCCCUGUCACUUCCGUGAGUCAAAAUUCAACUCAUCAAAAUGCAUUAACAUGUGUAUAUAAAAUUGUCUUCACAUGUUAAACUUCAUGUUAUUGCCUAAAGGCUGAGCACCAUUAAGAAAUUUCCACAAGAUGAGAUGGAUUCCCUUAGGAAAGUUAUAAUACAGGACCCAUAUUACUUCCUACUGCUUCCCAGCACCAAACAAGCUGUCCUGGUGGACAGGAUGGUUCAAAGACUGGUAAAGAAUAUCAUUUUACUGUCUACAGGUCAUGCACAUAUUUUCAGUGUGGAUCUUUCCAGUUAAUGAUUGUGACAGGGUUAACAAACCCUGAUUCUGUGUAGAAAAUACCUUUUUAAAAGGGCUUUAAUUUCAAAGUCCCUGUGAAUCUCCAACCCCUAUAUC